CCCCCAGCCCCCAGCCCCUGGCUAAGCUGACUCCAAAGGGCCUCCUGCCCCCUGCCCUGCCUCCUACCUCUACCUCCCAGAAGCUACACACUCAGAGGGAAUUUCUCAGCCUCAACACCCACCAAGUAUCUGAUCUACCACAGGUUGAGCUGACGCUGGCUGAACAUAGCGGGGAGAGAGACCCAUGAACCUACCAAGAAGGCUGCCAAGCUCACCACCUAGGCUGGGGACAGAAGGUUCGAGACCAAGGAGCCACAGAUGGUUCCGAGGAAGAUAAGACCUGAAGAACCAGACCUAGGGAAGUAGAAAGGGAAACAUCAAAGGACCUGUCACCAGGUAGAAGAAGAGAAUCAACUCCUGCAAGCUGCCCUCUGACCUCCACAUGUGACACACAGGGAGGCAAGAACACAGAGCAGACAAGGGCUUGGGAUGGACCUCAGCCAGUGGAGUGGCUGCCGAGCCUGUGUGACGCCCGCCCCAUGUAAGACCAGAUGUGGUGACACACACCUGUGAAUCUAGCACUCAGCGGCUGGAGGAAGUAGGACAGGAAAUUCAAGGUUCUCAGCUACAUAGCAUGAUACACCUUGGCUCCCAAAAUGCUAGCCCAAAGCCUUCUCCUCCGAAAGGAUACUCAGGACGGGUCUUGGACUCACUCAGACACAAACGGGGAAACUCAGACCUGGUGCAGGCCCAGUGUGGAUUUCCUCUCUAAACGCAGAACGGCUGUAGGAAGGGACUGAAGCUCAGAGCUAGCCCUCUGUCCUGCUGAGCCGCCUCUGAAAGCGGGAACACAUCUACACAGCAGGCUUUGGAAGAGCACAUUCCCAUCGUCUGGGAACCUUCUUUUACUGACAGUACAAGGACUUGGGGCUCCCUAUGAUAGGGAGGAAGGAAGAUGCUGGACAUUCCAAAGAGAUAUGAUGUCCUUGGAGCUAACACUUGUUUACCACAGUCUGGGUCACUGCUGCCCUUGGUUUCUUUGAAGACCAGUGUUUCCCGCCUGAGACAGGCAUGGGCCACAGAAGCCUCCCACACCGUUCCUAUUUGGAGGAGGCUUUCUGCUGGGUUCUGGAAGCCAGGGUGAGGGGUGUUAUGCCAAGAACCCACAGCCUCCUGGCUCCCUCCCACACGGCAGCCUGCACUGACAUCUCUGAGAGGGCCUUUGAUUAAAGAGACAAGUGACUUUGCCCAUUCUAUUGAUCAGAAUAAAU